UCGAACGAUGAAGCCCAGCUUGCUGGGUGGAUUAGUGGCGAACGGGUGAGUAACACGUGAGUAACCUGCCCUUAACUCUGGGAUAAGCCUGGGAAACUGGGUCUAAUACCGGAUAGGAGCGUCCACCGCAUGGUGGGUGUUGGAAAGAUUUAUCGGUUUUGGAUGGACUCGCGGCCUAUCAGCUUGUUGGUGAGGUAAUGGCUCACCAAGGCGACGACGGGUAGCCGGCCUGAGAGGGUGACCGGCCACACUGGGACUGAGACACGGCCCAGACUCCUACGGGAGGCAGCAGUGGGGAAUAUUGCACAAUGGGCGCAAGCCUGAUGCAGCGACGCCGCGUGAGGGAUGACGGCCUUCGGGUUGUAAACCUCUUUCAGUAGGGAAGAAGCGAAAGUGACGGUACCUGCAGAAGAAGCACCGGCUAACUACGUGCCAGCAGCCGCGGUAAUACGUAGGGUGCGAGCGUUAUCCGGAAUUAUUGGGCGUAAAGAGCUCGUAGGCGGUUUGUCGCGUCUGUCGUGAAAGUCCGGGGCUUAACCCCGGAUCUGCGGUGGGUACGGGCAGACUAGAGUGCAGUAGGGGAGACUGGAAUUCCUGGUGUAGCGGUGGAAUGCGCAGAUAUCAGGAGGAACACCGAUGGCGAAGGCAGGUCUCUGGGCUGUAACUGACGCUGAGGAGCGAAAGCAUGGGGAGCGAACAGGAUUAGAUACCCUGGUAGUCCAUGCCGUAAACGUUGGGCACUAGGUGUGGGGACCAUUCCACGGUUUCCGCGCCGCAGCUAACGCAUUAAGUGCCCCGCCUGGGGAGUACGGCCGCAAGGCUAAAACUCAAAGGAAUUGACGGGGGCCCGCACAAGCGGCGGAGCAUGCGGAUUAAUUCGAUGCAACGCGAAGAACCUUACCAAGGCUUGACAUGUUCUCGAUCGCCGUAGAGAUACGGUUUCCCCUUUGGGGCGGGUUCACAGGUGGUGCAUGGUUGUCGUCAGCUCGUGUCGUGAGAUGUUGGGUUAAGUCCCGCAACGAGCGCAACCCUCGUUCCAUGUUGCCAGCACGUCAUGGUGGGGACUCAUGGGAGACUGCCGGGGUCAACUCGGAGGAAGGUGAGGACGACGUCAAAUCAUCAUGCCCCUUAUGUCUUGGGCUUCACGCAUGCUACAAUGG
rnacentral:rRNA from 1 species